rnacentral:sRNA from 1 species
AUUUGAUCUUGCUCUUGGUGGGGUUAACCAUGCGUAACUUGUUGCCAACUUACCGGUGUGCUCUUACCACACCUUUUCACCCUUAC